rnacentral:tRNA from 3 species
AGGGGCGUAGGUAAAUGGUAUACCGGGGCUCUCCAAAAGCCUUAUUGGGAGUUCGAUUCUCUCCGCCCCUGCCC